rnacentral:rRNA from 1 species
AGAGUUUGAUCCUGGCUCAGGACGAACGCUGGCGGCGUGCCUAACACAUGCAAGUCGAGCGGAGAUUAUAGCAAUGUAAUCUUAGCGGCGGACGGGUGAGUAACGCGUGGGUAACCUGCCUUAUACAGGGGGAUAACACUGGGAAACUAGUGCUAAUACCGCAUAACAUAUAGAUAUGGCAUCAUAUUUAUAUCAAAGGA